rnacentral:rRNA from 1 species
UACGUAGGGGGCAAGCGUUGUCCGGAUUCAUUGGGCGUAAAGAGCGUGUAGGCGGCCAGGUAGGUCGGUUGUGAAAACUGGAGGCUCAACCUUCAGAGGUCGACCGAAACCAUCUGGCUAGAGUCCGGGAGAGGAGAGUGGAAUUCCUGGUGUAGCGGUGAAAUGCGCAGAUAUCAGGAAGAACACCCGUGGCGAAAGCGGCUCUCUGGAACGGUACUGACGCUGAGACGCGAAGGCGUGGGGAGCGAACAGG